AAUUAGGGUAAUUUAUUUAUUUUUAUUUAUUUUUUUGAUGGAGGUACUGGUGAUUGAACCCAGGACCUUGUGCAUGCUAAGCAUGCGCUCUACCACUGAGCUAUACCCUCCCCUUUUUCCCAGACUGUUUUUUUUUUUUUUAAAGAAUAAACUCAGAGAAAAUCUGAGCACUCUUAGGCAGAGAAGAUAGGUGUGAGGACGACCAAAUAAGAUUCUCAAGGACUCAGGUAGCGGCUAGUCUGUGGUCUGGCCAAGGGUGGGGGAACGGCGGCUUAAAGGAGAAGGCAAUUGCGAAGUAGAGGGGGGAAGUGCUCUGGUCACAUUGAUGAAAAGUGGGAAGUUCAGAGGCCAACGAAAUAAUCAAAGACUCAGAAAAGUGCACAGAUGGGGAAAUGUUGGGACGACUUGGUUGUAAAGUCAGAAAAGACUUCUCAAAAGAGAGGUCUUUGAGCUGAGAAAGUGAGAAGGAACCAGCUACAGGAAGAACGUUCCUGCAAGACAGAACAGCAAGGGUCACAUUCCCGAGGUGGAAACAAACUUGGUCGGUGUGAGAAACAAAGUGGGGAUCGCUGGUGGGAAUGCAGAAGUGAAGUGGGUUGAAAGCGAGUUUGGGGGUGGGUCAUCGGGGGGUUACAUCAGGUCAAGCUCCAUAGGUUAUGGUGAGGUUGCAUUUUCUCCUAAAUAUAACGGGAGGACUUUGAGUAAGAGAGUGACUUGGUCUGAUUUAUAUUUAAAAAGUAACCCUGGCUGCUGUGCUGAGAGGGCACUAGGGAGUAAGCAAAAAUAGAAGCAGGGCUGAUCAUCAGUAGCUUUUGUCUCAUUCAGAUGUGGGAUGAUGGUGGCACGGACCUGGAUAGUCAUUCUCUGUCAAGGUGAAUCUGUCAGCAGUAUGGUGUCCUCUGUAUGCUAUGUGCAACCUGACUUCGGCCACCUGGCUAUGGACAUAGAGCUGCCCAGCCAUCCUCGCCUGGUUCAGGGGGCUUCCUCACCUCCACAUCUCAGGAUCAGCUCUCAGCCCCAGGACAGCAGAGGGUCCUCUCUCCCUUUCCUGGCUGAUGGGGCACCGUUUCUGUUGGAGAAACCCACAGGACUGAGACAUCACUGCCCUCCUGGUUCCUGUUCCCGUGAGCCCCACAGAGGCACAGCGAUGCUCAGAGGCAGAAGGGAGGCUGGGUCUGAGCUUUGGGGUUUGGGACCUCAGUUGUCAGCUCCUUAGGGCAAGUCCCCAGCUCCCUCCCUCUCACUCCUCCCUGGGAGAGGCCCUUCUCUUCCUCUGUGAACUGGACGAUGGAGUGACGAGUGUGAUGCCCUUGACGCUAGAGCUCCCCUGGUAGAGGGGAACCUGCUUUUCCCAGAGAAAGCCCAGGUUGGGCAGCAGGGACAGAGGAUCAGAGUAAAGAGGAGGGUGGAUGUUAUGGGCUGUAUUGUAUCCCCCCUGUCCCCAAAUUCACACAUUGAAGUCUAACCUCCAGUAUCUCAGAAUGUGUGUUUGGAGAUGGGGUCUUUUAUUUUGCAAAUUUUUCCCCAUUCUGUGCGUUGUCCUUUUACUUUAUUGAUAAUUGGAGAUAGAGUCUUUAAAGAGAUAAUUCAGUUGAAGUGAGGUCGUAGGGUAGCAUCCUAGUCUAAUGCGACCGGGGUCCUUGUAAAGGACACAGACACACACACAGGGAAGCCCAGGUGAAGAGGCAGGGAGAAGACGGCCAUCUCCACGUCAAGCAGAGGCCUUGGAAGAAACCAGCCCUGCUGACACCUUGAUCUUGAGCUUGUGGCCUCCAGAACGGUGAAGUAAUAUGUUUCUGUGGUUUAAGCUGCUCAUUCAGUAGUGUUUAAUUAUGGCAGCCCGAGCAGACUAAUACAGUGGAUUCGAGGACGGAAACAGCUUCAGGUAACUUCCUCCAGGGGGCCCCUCCUGACUUCCCCUGGGCCCGUCAGGAACAUCUGUCUGGGCAGGUGGGGGGUGGGGCAUUUAUGAGCACCUGGUGUCUGUCUGUUUCUAAGGAACUUCAUUUACCAGGCUGGAUCCCCAUGAGGUCAGACACUGUGUCUGAUUUACCUACAUACCCUCCCCUAGAUGGCUUGACUCCUGCUGCACACAAGGUCCCAGGGGCAUGGAGGUCGAGCGGGCAAGCCCAGUGUCUCACAGUGGCCGAAACAGAGCGUUAUUUCAAGGUGAGGGGAACAACAGUCAACUUCUGGGGGAGUUUAUCCUGCCCACUCCAUGACCCCCUCCCCUUGCAUUACCCAAAACUCCCACCGUCAGCAUCACCUCUGGAUGUUUGUGUUCUUAGCACAACGGGUGUUACAAGUGUGUGUCGUCCAACUGUGUGACGGAAGAAGAGGAGACUGGGAAGCAGAUUAAGGGCUUGGAGGGUGGCUGCUCCUGGGUGACCAUGUGUGGGAGAGCCCACCAGCGAGGGUGAAGGGGUGGGACUGAGACUAGCCUAGGGUGGCCACAU
ensembl:lncRNA